rnacentral:rRNA from 1 species
UACGGAGGGUGCGAGCGUUGUCCGGAAUCAUUGGGCGUAAAGAGCGUGUAGGCGGCUCGGUAAGUCCGCUGUGAAAGUCGGGGGCUCAACCCUGGGAUGCCGGUCGAUACUGCCGGACUAGAGUUCGGAAGAGGCGAGUGGAAUUCCCGGUGUAGCGGUGAAAUGCGCAGAUAUCGGGAGGAACACCUAUGGCGAAGGCAGCUCGCUGGGACGUUACUGACGCUGAGACGCGAAAGCGUGGGGAGCAAACAGG